rnacentral:rRNA from 1 species
CCUACGGGUGGCAGCAGUGAGGAAUAUUGGUCAAUGGGCGUAAGCCUGAACCAGCCAAGUCGCGUGAGGGAUGAAGGUUCUAUGGAUCGUAAACCUCUUUUAUAAGGGAAUAAAGUGUGGGACGUGUCCGAUUUUGUAUGUACCUUAUGAAUAAGGAUCGGCUAACUCCGUGCCAGCAGCCGCGGUAAUACGGAGGAUCCGAGCGUUAUCCGGAUUUAUUGGGUUUAAAGGGUGCGUAGGCGGCCUUUUAAGUCAGUGGUGAAAGUAUGUGGCUCAACCAUAGAAUUGCCGUUGAAACUGGGGGGCUUGAGUAUAUUUGAGGUAGGCGGAAUGCGUGGUGUAGCGGUGAAAUGCUUAGAUAUCACGCAGAACCCCGAUUGCGAAGGCAGCCUGCCGAGCCAUGACUGACGCUGAGGCACGAAAGCGUGGGGAUCAAACAGGAUUAGAUACCCCAGUAGUC